UUUCCGAAAAUACGAAUAGAAGUACGCACGAUAAACGCCAAAAAGUUGGUAUUUAAAUAUUUAUCAUUUUAUUUAAAUCGUCGUCCGUGGUUCUUGCUUGUGUGAGUUAUAAGAGAUAAGAGAUCUUUAUUUGCAUACCAUAGUACAGAUGUUAUAUACAUGGACCCUGGAAAGGGUGUAGCAAAAUUGGUGGUUAACAAUUUAGUUCAUUUAGUUAUAUAGUUAACAAUAGUUUUGGUUAUUAUUACUACUGACUUAUACUUAGGUUCGAUAUUAUAAUACUUAUAUAUACAUUAAUAGAUGGUCAAGCAAAUCUUGUCAGUUAAAAAAGGCGCGAAAUUCAAAUUUUCUAUGAGACGAUAUCCCUUCGCGCCUACGUUUUUCAAAUUUGCCGCCUUUUUCUACUGACAAAAUCUGCUUGACCGACUAUAAAUGUCACUGUGCCUUCACCUGCGGACUCAACCUUCACGUUAUAUUUUUUUUAAUAUUUACGCUGUCAUAGUAACGGAAAUAAUAAACACGAUACGUCAAUCGAAGUGAAGAAAUUUAUAUCCAAUAAAAAAAUGCAAAAUCAUAUUAUCGCAUAGAAACGAUUUACCGAUUAUACAAGUUACAUUUAAAAAAAGAUGAUUAUCUUGGAAAGGAUACACAGUUUCAGGAACGCGUGAAAAACGAAAGUUUAAAAGAGAAUAAAUUUCCGAUGGCUGUGGGAAUGUAUAACAACAUUUUAAAGUAUCGAUAUAAGAUAAUCAUCUAUAAACUGUUUUCGGCCAUAGCGAAUACGUUUACCACUAAGAAUGUCUCAAAGUAAAAAAAAGAAGUUCAAUGUACUGGCAUUGGUUUCACCAAGAACGAUGAGCGAGAAGCGAUUAGAGCUAGAAAACUGGAAACGAGUUGGGGCGUCCGGCUGCGACCGAAGCGAGUUUUUGAAUGCGAGUUUGACGUUUUAAACACCGUAUUUAAGGUUAAUAAGGUCUACAAGCUUCGAGAAGUAGGUCAACCGCCGAAUCCAACUCGGUUGGGCAGCGUUCGGGAAACUACGUAAUGUCUUUUCGUCCGACAUACCUCAGUGCCUCAAGACGAAAGUCUUUAAUCAAUGUGUGUUACCAGUGAUAACUUACGGCUCCGAAACGUGGUCUUUCACUAUCGGCCUCAUCUCAAAAUUCAAAGUCGCUCAACGAGCUAUGGAGAGGGCUAUGCUCGGAGUUUCUCUGCGUGAUCGAAUCAGAAAUGAGGAGAUCCGUAGACGAACUAAAGUCACCGACAUAGCCCACCGGAUUAGCAAGCUGAAGUGGCAAUGGGCAGGCCACAUUGCGCGCAGAGA